rnacentral:rRNA from 1 species
AGAAUCAACGCUGGCGGCGUGCCUAACACAUGCAAGUCGAACGAGAAAGGGGAGCAAUCCCUGAGUAAAGUGGCGCACGGGUGAGUAACACGUGACUAACCUACCCUGGAGUGGGGGAUAACUGAGGGAAACCUUAGCUAAUACCGCAUAACACCUACGGGUCAAAGGAGCAAUUCGCUUUGGGAGGGGGUCGCGGCCGAUUAGUUAGUUGGCGGGGUAAUGGCCCACCAAGACAGUGAUCGGUAUCCGGCCUGAGAGGGCGCGACGGAACGACGACUGGAACUGAAACACGGUCCAGACUCCUACGGGAGGCAGCAGUGGGGAAUUUUGCGCAAUGGGGGAAACCCUGACGCAGCAACGCCGCGUGGAGGAUGAAGUACUUCGGUACGUAAACUCCUUUCGAUCGGGACGAUAAUGACGGUACCGGAAGAAGAAGCCCCGGCUAACUUCGGUAGCCAGCAGCCAC